GCGGGUAUCGUAUAGUGGCUAUUACGUGACCUUGCCAAGGUUGAGACGAGAGUUCGAUUCUCUCUACCCGCUCCA
rnacentral:tRNA from 1 species